GAAGAUAUAGAAGAAAUGAAGAUAAGAAAAAGAAAGUUGAAACAGAUGGACAGAAAUAUUCUGAUAGAUUGGAUUAGAAAGAAUUGAUGACAACAGGAAUGUUCUCAAUAAAGUAAUACAAGAAAACUGCCUAAAAACAUGCCAUGUUUCAUAUUUUUCCACCUACACCAGAAGUUUUUGUUCCUGCUACUCACUUCAGGUCUAUCAGAGCUUGUGGGAGGAACAAAAUCAUGAUGUGACUCCAGUGCUAUUGCUGUCUGUAUUGUAUUGAUCCUCUGAGUCCCAGGAAGGUCUAAAAACUCAGUGUGCCAAACAUGGUGGAAAAAAGGGGCUUAAAGAUUUUAAGCAAAAAUACUGGAAAAGCAGCUUACCACUGGAAGGGACUAUUUACUUGUGGUUUAGAGGAGCUGAAGUCGGGGAUUUUCAUUAUAUGAAAAGCUCCUUCCCCACUUGGGGCUGUACUUAACAUAGAGCAGAUGACUCAAAGGUUUACUGCAGGAGCCUUCAGAAAACAAAGGAAUGUCAUGAACUGGGGCAAUCCUUGCACUGAAGUAACCUGGGACACAGAGACCUUUUACACUUGACAUGGGGCUGGAGCAGAGAACGCUCAAAGAUAAUCUGUCACAAGAAAUUCCACUUCACCUCAACACCUCAAGGGGCAUGAUAAACAUCCUCCUCCAAUGAGACACACAAAAUACCAGCAUUUCUCUGAAGUGAACACCACUCUUUACAAUAGAAGCAUGAAGUCAGGACUUUAAAAAAAGGUCCAGUUCCUCUGUGAUUUCUCCUUUCGGGAGGCCCCCUGCUCUCCUACUGGGUAUACUGACUCCAGAGCAAACAUAGUGGGGGCUCAGAGGCUGCUCUGGUAAUGGGGAUGUCCUGCUGGGAUCCUCUGGCCCAUAAUUUCAUGUUCCAUGGGGUCUGCUGAUCCUGAUGGAAGUGGCAGCAAAUUGUGAACUGAGGUCCCCAAGAGAAAAACCAGGAUACUUUGCCCCACGCCACAGCUCCUCCAUUCCCACUGUGUCACAGCAGCUGAAGAUGUGCUGUGUUGACAUCACUGACAGGACUUCAGAGAUGAAGGUAAUGCAAAUACUGGCCAUGAGGUGCUAUUGCAAUUUCUAUCUUCCCCACUGACAGGACAUCCUUUCUGCCUCUUCUCAGAAAUGCUCUUGGCCAGCUCAGACUGAAGCAGGGGUGGUGACCCACAGUGGUCACGGCCUGAGCUCUGCCUCUGCCACAAAGAAGAGGUGUCCAGGGCUUCCUAGAGACACUCUGCUGCUGCUUUACCCUGAGCAGCCCUUCCCGGCUGGGGGUGCCUGCAAAAGCUGGGUCAUGUGUACCCCCUUGACCUGAGCAGCUACAGCUGCCUUCGGUGCACAGCAAGGACCACUUGCAUUGCCUCCUGCCCUGCUCUCCCAGUGCCACGAGCUUUCCCCACUGCCUCCCUGCAGCCAGCUUGACCACGGCACUGAUCCUCCUAAAAGGACUUUCAAAGCUGGAUAACCACAUUAAUGCUUGUCUGACUUCUUUCACUUAGAAAAUUACUCAUCUAAUACAUUCCAAAUGCAGUCACAGAAAGUAUUCCUUAGUGAUGUCUUAAACCAUAUACCCAGUUCUUGUAUUUUGCCAGAGUGCUUUCUACGCAUACCAGUCACAUUCUCCUACUUCUGCAUGCUCCUUAACUGAUACACUUGGCCCUGCUGUGAGACCAAUUACAAUUUAUCAUUUCAUUGGACAAUUUUCUAGGAGAUCUAAUGUCUCUUAAGACCUGAGAUCUAAGGUUAAGAGUACUAUAUUUUCUACCAUACAGCUAUUUGUUGAUUAAUUUUGAAAUUCUAGCAUGCUUCAUUAAACAUGCUUUUUUCGAUAUUUGUUGGCUUA